GUGUGUGUCUGUAUGUGAGAGAGAAAAUGGCCAGCUUUGUUUCCCCUUUUUCAUGAUACACGCAUCCAUGGCACCACAACACAGAAGCCUACACAGAAACAGUACUAGAUCUACAAAGUAACCAAAGGGUAAAAAGGGCAAGUAAAGAAGAUAAGAUACAAUAAGCUGCAGCUGUUACCUUGGAAUACCAAGAAGAAGAAGAAAGGGGCCCUUCUGAAAUUAUUUCUGGAGGCUUCUUAUGUGGUGAAAGAGGAAAGACUUGAGUGAAGAGAUGAAGAUGGUGUUCUUGAAAGAUUCAUACUCUUGGCCUUGACUUUCUUACACUCAGCUUUUUGAAUCUGGAAGAUAUAGAAAAAACCCAUUUUGGUUACCAGAUGAGAGGAAUAGGGUACAACUUACAAGCAAUAGUAGAUAAUAAAGGUUCAAGCUUUGAAGCAAAGUGCAAGAAAGAAGCUAUUUUGGGUGGCAUUCAUGAAUCACUCUUUCCUUUGGAUACUAAGAGGAGUCCUAGCCCUUCUACCUCCACCUCCGCUCUCUCCUCUUCUUUCGGAGGCGGCGGAGGCAAUGCAAGCUCUGGGGGCGGUGGUCAUAACAACUCAGCUAACUUGGUAUUGAUUUCUGAGGAUACCAUGAACCCCAAAUGGCAAGUUUCUGAACCAGAAAAUGAACGAGAAAGUGGUGGUAGGAAAGAUGAGUGGGCGGUGGAGCUGCAGCCCAUUUCUGGAGCUGGAAGUCCUCAAAGAUUUGGUCUUGGAAAUGGAAUGGAAGAUUGGGAAAGCUUGUUUUCGGAUACGGCAUCACAUGACCAGCUCAGAUGGAUUUCUGGUGAUGUUGAUGAGACUCCCUUGAGCUUGAAACAGCUUUUGCAAGGCGGAAACAAUCACGAAAUUGAAGACGCCUCUGCGAUACAGCCUUGGGGUAAUGCAGCUACUAAUUUCAAUUCUAAUAUGGGUGUUUCCAAUUCUGGUUUUACUUCAGCUUUAGCUCCAAAUUCUAGGGUUUUAAACUACAACCCUAACCCACAAGCCCCCAAUUCUCCUUUGCCUGUGAAUCAUCAGUUUAUGAACCAGAAUAUGGGCAAUCUCGACAUGUCCUCUGUAUUAUUACAAGCUAAUAGUAAUAAUGGCCAAAAAGACCAUAAUCACUACGAGCCUCAACCAAAAAGGCACAAUCUUGGCAUACCAAACUGCACUACUGGUGUCGCUAAAUCCCCAUUUGACGGGUUUCUACCAUCAAUAAAACAGCAUCAAAUGGGUUUUGCUAACCAGUGCAAUCUACUACCUCCUCAUCAGCUUCUGCAGAAACCAUUUAUUACUCCAAAGCAGGAGUUAACAGGUGGAAUUCGUGAGAAAAUAUCACCUGCAAGCCACCUCCAUCAGCACCAGCAGCAGCAACAGGUAAUAUAUGACCAGCUUUAUAAGACAACAGAGUUGAUGUUGUCUGGGAAUUUCUCACACGCGCAAGCGAUAUUGGCGCGGCUCAAUCACCAGCUUUCUCUCAAUAUAAAGCCUUUCCAGAGGGCUGCUUUUUAUUUCAAGGAGGCUUUGCAAACGUCCCUCCUCGAAAUAUCUGAUCCAGUAUCCCCGAUUUCAUCAAGAAUUCCUACACCAGUCGAUGGUAUGUUUAAGAUAGGUGCCUAUAAAGUGCUUUCGGAAGUUUCACCAUUAGUACAAUUCAUGAAUUUCACUUCGAACCAGGCUCUUCUUGAAGCACUUGGCAAUGCAGAUAGCAUUCAUAUCAUAGACUUUGAUAUUGGGUUUGGUGCACAAUGGUCUUCUUUCUUGCAGGAGCUUCCGAGGACGGACAGAAGUCCUCCCUCAUUAAAAAUUACUGCUUUUGCCUCCCCUGCAACCCACCAUGCCAUUGAGCUGGGUCUUAUGCAUGAAAAUCUUACACAAUUUGCUACUAAGAUGGGUGUUUCUUUUGAACUUGAAGUAGUUAAUUUUGACUCGUUUGACCCAAAUUCUUAUGCAACGUCGUUAGAAAAUGAAGCAGUUGCUGUGAAUUUUCCUCUCUGGUCUGCAUCGAAUCACCUGCCUGCCCUUCCCUCUCUUUUGUCAUUUAUAAAGCGGCUCUCCCCUAAAAUCAUGAUAUCGAUGGACCGUGGAUGUGAACGAAUCGAUCUCCCCUAUCCACAACACCUCCUUCAUGCACUCCAAUACUAUGAGAUUUUAUUCGAUUCCCUCAAUGCUGCUAAUGUAACUUCUGAUACAGUCAGCAAAAUGGAAAGGUUUCUUUUUCAGCCAAAAAUCAGAAGCAUGGUGUCGGGGCGCCUGCGUUUUCCUGAACAGAUGCUCCCUUGGAAAUCAGUUUUUGCCUCUAUGGGUUUCUCACCAGUGGCAUUUAGUAACUUUGCUGAGACCCAGGCUGAGUGUUUGGCAAAGAGAACCCAGGUUAGGGGAUUUCAUGUGGAGAAGCACCAGGCAUCACUUGUGUUGUGCUGGCAAAACUGUGAGCUUAUGUCCUUGUCAGCUUGGAGGUGCUGAGCUGCGGAAUGUCAAGUCUCUUGGCAGAGCAAAGGUUUUAACUGACUUCACUCCUUAGGACAUCUGCAUUUGAUGCAUUCCUACGCGUCGCUGUUUAGGGAUGUUCUUGUUAUAUUACGGUGUUCAACCCUUUCUGCAGCCUAGGUAAGCCUUCGAUAAAGAAACGGAAUUCGAUUCCUAAGGUUUUUUUUUACCCAAAUGGUCCACACAAUCUUCCCAAGAUUGUUCUCUCUUCAUUAGGAGUUGGGGCCAAAAGCCAGGUUCUUGGAUCAUUCACUAGUGAGGGGUAAGGUCUGCAAAAUCCUUAAUAUGUUUUGUAUGUACUUAUACAGUUACACUAUGGAAUUAGUUUCUAGAUAUACCAAAUAUAUUUUGUUUAUGUACUUAAACUACGGAUUGAGCACUUAUAUUACUACUUCUGACAUCAAGAUUUAGAGUCUAGACUUUUAUAUAAGUCUGAUGAUUAGAGACAGCAUUAUUUUGUUAUGCUCAACUAAAGGAGUUAGGUUGAUAACUCCUCCACAUGCUUUAUCUUA